UUUCCGUAGGUGAACCUGCGGAAGGAUCAUUCAUAAUAAAGUGUUUUAUGGCACUUUUUAAAAAUCCAUAUCCACCUUGUGUGCAAUGUUAGAUCUCGUCAAUCUUGGCGAGAUUUUUAUACAUCAACUCAUUCUUUAACUAAUUUGUAUGAAAAAUAUUAUGAAUACUUAAUUCAAAAUACAACUUUCAACAACGGAUCUCUUGGCUCUC
rnacentral:misc_RNA from 1 species